rnacentral:rRNA from 1 species
UACAGAGGGGGCAAGCGUUGUUCGGAAUUACUGGGCGUAAAGGGCGCGUAGGCGGCCCUCUAAGUCAGACGUGAAAUCCCUCAGCUUAACUGGGGAACUGCGUCUGAUACUGGAUGGCUUGAGUUUGGGAGAGGGAUGCGGAAUUCCAGGUGUAGCGGUGAAAUGCGUAGAUAUCUGGAGGAAUACCGGUGGCGAAGGCGGCAUCCUGGACCGACAUUGACGCUGAGGAGCGAAAGCUAGGGGAGCAAACGGG